rnacentral:rRNA from 1 species
GACGUAGGGCGCAAGCGUUGUCCGGAUUUAUUGGGCGUAAAGAGCUCGUAGGCGGCUUGUCGCGUCGACUGUGAAAACCCACGGCUCAACCGUGUGGCUUGCAGUCGAUACGGGCAGGCUAGAGUUCGGUAGGGGAGACUGGAAUUCCUGGUGUAGCGGUGAAAUGCGCAGAUAUCAGGAGGAACACCGGUGGCGAAGGCGGGUCUCUGGGCCGAUACUGACGCUGAGGAGCGAAAGCGUGGGGAGCGAACAGG